CCUACGGGAGGCAGCAGUAGGGAAUAUUGGGCAAUGGACGCAAGUCUGACCCAGCCAUGCCGCGUGCAGGAUGAAGGCGUUAUGCGUUGUAAACUGCUUUUAUACAGGAAGAAACGACUCUUGCGAGAGGCAUUGACGGUACUGUAUGAAUAAGCACCGGCUAACUCCGUGCCAGCAGCCGCGGUAAUACGGAGGGUGCAAGCGUUGUCCGGAUUUAUUGGGUUUAAAGGGUGCGCAGGUGGUUUAUUAAGUCAGUGGUGAAAGACGGUCGCUCAACGAUUGCAGUGCCAUUGAUACUGGUAGACUUGAGUAAAGUAGAGGUGGGCGGAAUUGAUAGUGUAGCGGUGAAAUGCAUAGAUAUUAUCAAGAACUCCAAUUGCGUAGGCAGCUCACUUGGCUUUUACUGACACUCAUGCACGAAAGUGUGGGUAUCAAACAGGAUUAGAUACCCUAGUAGUC
rnacentral:rRNA from 1 species